UAAAACAAGUAACAUGUAAUUUCCAAUAUUAUUUUUUCUAUAUUAAGCAAUGCGUAUUUUCCGAGUCCGAAGUGUAUAUUUAAUAACUGGAUUUAAUAAAAAAAAUUCAUUAUAACAAGAAAAAUCAGAAGAGAAGUGCGGAUGAUUUUUAAAGCUUUAAGCCGAAUUUGUGGAUUUCGUCUUUUACGGGAACUGAUAUUCUUAAUUACUUGAGACUAAUAUUCAACGUAACAGGUAACGUGGCCAAGAAGAGCAAAUGGCAGGCAAAACCAAACUCUAUCGUCUUCUACGAGAUGAUGAAAAUCCCUUGGACGAUGGAAUAAAAGCCAAACUUCCCCAUGAACACAAAACUCCGCUGCAGCAUAUUCGUUACGGCUCACGACGAGACUCGCAAUUGAUCUCAACCUCAAGAAAUCUUUCUAAUGUUGACGAAUUAAUAAGAUUUAAAAGGAGGAGUUGGAAGAGGUCAAAACAGUGUAGAGUUGUAGAAAUAGAUGAACAAAAGUUAAAAUUGUACGCAGAAAAGAGUACAGAUAUAAUGCGACAACUUCUAAACUUAAAGAUGAAAAUAACAUUUAAACACCAAAGUAAAAUGUUGAAAUUAUUAACUAAGUUUGAGGAAGUGACAACAGGAAAUAUAUUAGAUUUUACAGACCAUACUGUUAUGAACGAACAUAUCCCUACAGAUCUAAGCGAAAGCGAAACGGCACGAGGUUAUGCAAGGAGAUACAGCGAGGUUCUCGUCGAGCGUUUUAUUCCGGCCGGCUGUUGCAUUUGCAUCUACGAAAGAUAAAUUCAGGGUUUAAUAUGGAUUUUGUAAUAACUUUUGCAAAAACUUUAUAAUGAAUGAAACUUUACUGACCAGACUCUUUGUUAAUUUGCACAUUUACGGAAGACCUUGCAUAGAAGUUACUUGAGAUAUGUUUAACUACAAGAAGUCAUAUUGUACAUAUUUUACUUCAUUUUAAUUUCAUUAAUCAUACUUACUAAUCUCAUACCUCAUGACGAGAGCUUUUCAAAACAGCUCGAAAGAUUUCAGUCAUACUAAAUCAUUUCAGAGUCAUGCAUUAGUCAAUUACCAUAAAUGUCUGCAAUAAAUCAUCAUUUUAUAUUUCA